GACGAACGCUGGCGGCGUGCCUAAUACAUGCAAGUUGAGCGCUGAAGGUUGGUACUUGUGCCAACUGGAUGAGCAGCGAACGGGUGAGUAACGCGUGGGGAAUCUGCCUUUGAGCGGGGGACAACAUUUGGAAACGAAUGCUAAUACCGCAUAAAAACUUUAAACACAAGUUUUAAGUUUGAAAGAUGCAAUUGCAUCACUCAAAGAUGAUCCCGCGUUGUAUUAGCUAGUUGGUGAGGUAAAGGCUCACCAAGGCGAUGAUACAUAGCCGACCUGAGAGGGUGAUCGGCCACAUUGGGACUGAGACACGGCACAAACUCCUUCGGGAGGCAGCAGUAGGGAAUCGUCGGCAAUGGGCGAAAGUCUGACCGAGCAACGCGGCGUGAGGGAAGAAGGUUUUCGGGUCGUAAAACUCUGUUGGUAGAGAAGAACGUUGGUGAGAGUGGAAAGCUCAUCAAGUGACGGUAACUACCCAGAAAGGGACGGCUAACUACGUG
rnacentral:rRNA from 1 species